rnacentral:lncRNA from 1 species
CCCCUUUUCCAAUCAGUUAAGGGUCUUGGGAUAUUUGGGGUUAAGCGUCCUUGGGUUUGAAUAGUACUGGGCCCGGUGACCUCCCGGGAAGUCCAAACUUAGGAGUUUACAUUUGGUAUCAGAGCGGUCUCGGGUCCGACUCUGUUGGUUGGCUAAGGGAAUCACACCACAUGUUGAUUGACAUCUGGCUGGUCCAGUUUGUUCCCGCUGGGCUCGACCCGAGGGGUAGGGUGUCAAGAGAGCGGGGCUCUCGGGAGAGCUGCGGCUCUCAGCUUCCGUUCACAAGGGCGUGAACUUGCAGGGAAGCGUGGUGGAUUGUAAGCAACCAAAGGGAAUGACUUGAGAGACGAUCCAUAGGGUUCAAAUAUAGAAGGAAAGGGCCCAUGAAUAAGAGUGCAUCCCCUUUUCCAAUCGGUUAAGGGUCUUGGGAUAUUUGGGGUUAAGCGUCCUUGGGUUUGAAUAGUACUGGGCUGGGUGACCUCCCGGGAAGUCCAAACUUAGGAGUUUACACACGGCCCUAUCCUUUGGCUACUUCGCCAUUCCCUCCCUUGGAGCUUUCACCUUUGCCAACUUGGAGCAUUUGGGAAUCUUUCCUUGGAAGUCCACUUCCUUUCCCGCAAUCCGUUAGCAUAAAACACAUUUGUGUUCCUUGGCUAACUUUGCCAUUUGGAUUCCUUCCCAUGAUUCCCAUGGCUCUUUUCUUGGCCACUAGUCUUUUGCUCCUAUCCUUGAUUGUUGCACCCAGCAACAUAGGAUCGCUACCUCCAUUUUUUAGGUUUCCUUUCGGUUCCAUAGCAAACACUUUGCUUUGCCAAGUCCAGAGGGUGUUCACCCCUAGUACGUCUCUUUAACAUUUUCUAUCGUGGGCUCUAUCCACGGCCCAACUUUUUGAGGCCCUCCCUUGGAUCUCUUAUAGAGACUACUUUCCUUGGACUUACUAUGCCAUAGCAUUGAUAUAGCUCAUUUCCCUUAGGUGUUCUUCUCACUUGGUCACCUCAACCAAGCCACACCUUUAUGAAUAAUUCAAAUCAACACUUUGAACUAGGAAUCAUAUUCCUUAACCCAAACAAAGACUUUGUCCUUGUUUAGCCACAAGAUCACCUAGUGAUCUCAUAAUAGGCUUAUCAAUAGGAACUAAGUCUUCCAGACCCUUCUAAGUUGUUGACUAUGACCCCAGGGGCAUCCCCCACACUUGGCGGUGCGCCCAAGCCAGCCCUUCCGGCCAAGGAUCCAUAGCAACUGAGACUUGGGUGUCCCCAUCUCAUUCACCACGUCCUUGGUGCCCUUUGCACCAAAGUGUUUAAGUUAGAUAUGCUGAGCUUUCACUCUAAGAAAUCUAACCGUGCAUCACGACUCCGAGGCAUCCCUCGCUUGGCGGUGUGCCCAAACUAGUCUCCUCACUGAGAGUCCAUGACCACCGAAAUAUGAGUGUCCUCAUAUUCCAAACCAUCACCACGCCCUAGUGAUUUGGGACUCGAACCCAAGCACUAGAGGGUUGGGACUCGAACCCAACCUCCGUAUAUGCAUCUACGGACGGCAUCACCCAGGAUGCCUGGCAUGACUCCCCACGCCGGUGCACCAACUUAUACUUAAAGCGUGGUAUAGAUCAUAGCUUAGGAACCUAGUUCCCCCACACUGCCAAGUCCUCUCACUUGACAAGUCCAUGAUCAUGCAUGGACUCUUCCAUGCUUGGCCCCAUGGCCCACCUUUUUGAAGUAAUCACAUUCAACUAGGGUAUUUGUUCCCCCGACUUGCCAAUCUCGCUUGGCAAGUCCUCCGACCACUGUAACAUGGUUCCUGCAUAAGCGUGAAAGUCCUUGACCAUUGACUUUCGUUCAAAGCCCUCUCUUUGAACACUCGGGAACUACUUCCCUAACCUUGAUAGUGUUGCCUCAUGGCAAGCUUCAAGACCACGCUUCUGCUGCGCCACUCUGAUUUCGCGUGUUCCAUGAACCAUUUACACUUGGUUUUUCUAGGUACUAAGCUACCUAAAAUCAUCUUUGGGAACCUUGAAGGAACUCUGUCCCUUAGCUUGCUAAGGCCUCUCUUUUCGCAAGCUUUAUAGUUGCCAUAUAGUCUAACAUGGACAAUUCCAUAUUUUAGACUCUCCAUGGCAUCACAGUUGCUAACAACAACAUCCUCGAGCACCCUCUUGAUUCUCCACUCCCAACUUGCAUAACCACCGUUGGAUAUGCCCUUCGAUUUCUAUGGUUCAGUUCCAUCCCAAUACUACUUGCCUUUUGGCCCCAUAUGUUUCCUUUGGUUAUUCUCCUCCAAACUAGGCGGAUAGCUUUGCACAUUUUGCUAUGCCUUAGCAAGUAUGCUUAGGGAUGAACCUGCUCGAUAGCCUAGGGAGUGGUUCCUUAAUCUUGGGCAUGCUCACUUUAUAAUCCCACACACCAGGGUUAACGUUGCUGCUUAUGGGCCUUUACAUGCCCAUCAUUAGCUUUGCCAAAAUUCCAUUUUUAGCUUUAUCCAAUUUGGGUUGACAGUUUUCUCCUGUCUCCGCAACCUUGGAUAUUUGGAUAGCACAUUUUAUCCAUCAUUCACUAGGGACUUAGUCCCUUGGGCUUUAUCUAUUGCCCUCGCGACAUCAAACACCACCUCCCGGUGUCCUAGAGUGUUUUGGUAUCCCAAAUGAUGGCUUAUUUGACAAUGAACAUUCCCUUUUAUGACAUUGACUUACUAUAUCGCAACAUAAGCAAUUUAUCCCUCGUAAGGGUAUAUCUAACUUCUUUAUGCCAUUAAGAAGUCUUGGGUAGCUACCUUCUACUAGUUUGACCAAUUAUCUUGCACUUUUUGCUUAGUUGCCUCAUAGCUGUCAAGUCCUACAACUCAUUGCUUGGUGCUUCCACACCUCCAUCAUUAUCUGGGUCACCACACUCCAACCACAUGCCUUCCAGCUUAGGCUAUGCCAUUCCCGUUUUUAUUGGGAUUCCCUUGGCAAGGGGUUCUUAAGAACCCACCAACAUAACCUCAAGGUAUCACACUUUGGCACAUUUGGUGUCUCCACACCAUCGGCCCCACGAGCCUAUCCUUAUGACACUACUUACUAGUAUCUAGGUCUUUGCCUAGGACAAUAUAGUUGUUCCUCAUGCUAACUAUCCAUUAGCACCACACCAUAGAGUUUGCACCCAACUCUAGGUCAAAGUUGCUUUCUUCUGGGAAUAUCUUUCCCACAACUUUAGUAUUGCACAUUCUGCCCUCAAUGAGAUAUCUCUUGUUCUCAUACUUGGAUCUUAUGAUCCUCCCCAUACCUCAUGGGGCAGCAUACACCUCAGUCUAAAUGCUUCAACCAAUCCCUUAUGACCAUUCCUUGACCCCACUUGAGUCAUCCAGCAUUUUUGGACCUUGCUAAUCCAACAACCUACGAGGUCUCAAUCUUAGAGGUGCCAACUCACUGGAAUACAACUUCUUGUAUUCAUGUCCUACUCAUAAGGACAAUCUUUGCAAGUGUUACUCUAACACUUGAUGAUUUUCUUGGGGCUAACAUUUGCCCCUUAGGACCACUUGUCCAUGUGAUGAGAAUACCAACUCAUCCUCUAAGUACACCCCCACCUCCUUGGGUUGUUCUAGCAUUUAGAAGAGGUAGCUUCGGCUACCAUUUCAAGGACUUGUGUCCUUUUCUGUAUUUGACCUCCCGCGGUCAUUACUUCUAGUCUCACAUUUAUGAGCACCCACCUCAACUAUAUGAGGAUAAUCUUGUGACUCCUUUAUUGUUUUGGAGUCUUUAUCUUUCCCGUGAUCCUAACUAUAGUUGUUUACCACAACUACAUUAGCCAGUUUGCAAAGUCAAAUGCUCAUCUGGAUCACAUCCUCAACUCUAUGAGGAAAACUUUAUACUGUUCCCAAGAUCCCAAAGUCGUUCCCUUACUGGCCCCUUUUUUAUCCACCACAUCGCGCCCAAGUUCACGCAUGAACUUGAGUGGAGAGCCAUGUCCUCUCGACAUGCUACUUCUCAACGAUAGGCCCACUCCUAGGACCUUCCGAUGCUAAUAUCAAUGGUGAUAUACUUGAGCACCAAUAAAAGUCAGACUAAGGAACAACUCCGAUACCAAAUUGUAAGCGACUAAAUUUUCCAUUCUACUUUAGUCACUUAACCACACCUCCGACCACUUGGAGGAGUCUCAUUCACAACCUCCAUAAGUCCAAUUCAGGACUUGGGACUUGCUAGCCCCGAGAAUGGCAUCCAUGCCAUUCAACAUUUGCACUUGGUCCAAGUGCUCCACGUGUCCAAUCCCAUGACCGACACUCAAAGGUACCACCGACAUGGUAGCUUGUCACGCUAAGGCCAUGCCCAAUCACCUUUGCCACACUGGUAGUCCAAUACCACAUGCAUCCCAGUCUUGGCUCUCCAAGACUAGGCAAACCAUCCGUGAGUGGUCAUCUCAAAUCCACUCCUUAGCAUCCUUAGGAUGCCCACCGACAAGGGGAAUAGCCUUCCCCAAUAUCCCUCUGUCAGUCCCCACUAAGUCCCUUUCUGCCCCUGGCCAUGUUUGCCAACACUACCACUGGAUCGAGGCCCACAGGCCCGACCACUAAGUCCCACGGUCCUCUGGGACUUCCUCACCAUACGAUUGUGUCUUUGGUCACUACCCCAAAGGACUGCUCCUCUUCCUUUCCACAGUCUGGGCCUUUGGGACAACAUUUCGGAACACCGUGGCCUUAUGCGAGCCACCUGGGUACUCUCCCUGCCUUCCGCCCUUGGGUGCUCUAGCCAUGGGCUUAGAGCGAGGUUCCGUUGAGCCACGCCUGGUAUCCAAGUAGGUAGUGCCACCCACACUUGGACUAGGAGCAUCAGCCAGUCGAUCUCCUGGGGGAACUAGAGCCGGCUCUUGAACACUUCACCAAGCUACCCCGCUUGUCGGUCUGUAUUCACUCUAGUCUUGGACUUCCCAGUGGUCAGUUCAUCACCCAACACUGGGUCUGGCCUUCCUGGGCCAAACUGGCCUUUCCUGGCCAAACUGGCUCCACUGCAGUCCUCCCCCCUACUAUACUUUUGGAGCUCACCAAACCCCCCAGGGUCUGGGAGACGAACGCUUUGGGCUUUCACCCUCUCAGACUCGAACUCGGACUCGGACUUGGACUCGGGCUCAGUCUCGGCCUCCGCCUCGGUCUCGGUCCCGGUCCCGGUCUCGGUCUCGGUCUCGGUCCCAGUCUCGGUCUCGGUCUCGGUCUCGAUCCCGGUCUCGGUCUUGACCUUGGACUCCAUCUCGGGUCCUCCAUCUCGGAUUCCAUCCCGGGUCCAUCUCGGACUCCAUCUCGGACUCCAUCUCGGACUCCAUCUCGGUCCAUCUCGGACUCUAUCUCAGACUCCACUUUGGACUCCAUCUCGGACUCCAGCUCAGAUUCCAGCUCGGACUCCAUCUCGGACUCCAUCUCGGACUCCACCUCGGACUCCACCUCGGACUCCAUCUCGGACUCCACCUCGAACUCCAUCUCGGACUCCACCUCAGACUCCACCUCGGACUCCAUCUCGGACUUCAUCUUGGUCCAUCUCGGACUCCAUCUCGGACACUUCCACGUGUCAUGUGUUGGUCCUUUUGGGUCCCUUUUUGGAGCUUCGCUUAUUACUCGCUUCAUGCUCAUUCCUUGAGCACUCCAUUGGGAGUUCCACUCUUGCUCUCGACCUUUCAAGUCGGAGCCUUUUAAUCCAAACGUGUUACGCUCAUUUGGCUUUUGCUUCGGCCACUACCACGUGGCACCCUUGUGGCUCCACUUUGGGGCUUAGGGAUUUGUGUCUGACAUCGGGGUGAGUCUAUGGGAAGUCAUCAAUGGGUGAGUUAUUGAAGGUCCUAUGGAACUCGGCAUGGCCGAGUAUCAUGAAGAGUUACCUACUGUAGAAGCAUUCACGACAGAAAGACUCAACAUUUAGAAUCUAGUGAGGGAUUCCUUGGAAUAGACUCAAUAAAGGCAAACUAAGUACACAAACUAGAAGCGCCAGGAUGUAGAGUUCUAACUUGGGGAGAAAGUGUGGUUGAACACCAAGAACCUAAGGCUACCAAGUGGGAUCAACCAUAAGUUGACCCAAAGGUAAAAAUGCAUGUAUUCCUAGAAAUGAAUUGAUCAUGAGUUCCUUAAGCAGGUUUGCAGGGCCUUACGAGAUUGAGGCACGAAUCAGUAAAGUGGCUUACUGCCUUGGACUUCCUCGAGAGAUGGGGAAGAUGCACCCAGUGUUUUAUAUGAAUUUACUCAAGUUGUAUUUUGAGGAUCUACUUCACAAGGACCAAAUAAAACCUUUACCUGAGGUUAUCCAAGGGAAAGAGGAAUACGAAGUCAAGGCCAUCUUCAAUGUGUGCAAGAGCAAACAACAAGGAUGCAAAGUGAGGGAGUUCCAUGUAAAGUGAAAAGAAUUUCCACACUGCAAAGCAACAUGGGAACCGGAAGAGAACCUAACAAACGUGGGACCUAGUGGAGGAAUUUUUGCAAGGAAGAACUCUAUGUACUUAUGUAAAGUUCAAUUAAAGUAUCAAAUUGUGAAGUUGAGUAAUGGCAUAUGUUGGGACCUGAAGGUGCACCGAAUGUAAACUAAUUAGCAUGAGUUAACUAGGUUGACCAGGCGUAGGGAACUACUCCUGAUUCCCCGUGGGGAUAUUGAAUUCGUAAACAUAUUCUACGGAGGUUGGGUUUGAGUCCCAACCCCUAGUAAAGCAAGGCUAGGUUCAAGUCCCAACCCCAUACUAGGGCAUGGUAAGGUGAGGGGUAUAGGGACACAUAUAUUCUGUUGCCAUGGGCUCUUGGUUGGGGAGGCUAACUUAGGCACACCACUAAGUGGAGGAAUGCCCUCGGAAACAUAAGCAACAAGUCAUAGGAUUAGAAAGAAACAUUUGAUGUGGGCAUUGAACUUCUUCUAUGGGUGGUGGAGUUGUAAAAAACCAAUUCCCCAAGGUGUCGUAGGCUAAAAGAUCCCUGAAAGCAUGACCAAAAUGAUAAAGAGUUCAUUGGAUGGGACCAAGUCUGAGAUCGAGUCCAAAACUGACUCUGAGACCGAGUUCAAGACAAAGUCCAGGAUCGAGUCCAAGGCCGACUUCGAAACCAAGUUUGAGACUGAGUUCGAGACAGAAUCUGAGAUUUGAGAUUGGGUCCGAGAUCGAGUCUGAGGUCAAGUUGGAAAUUAGGUCCGAGGUUGAGUCCAAGAUCGAGUCCGAGACCGAGUCCAAGGUCGGUGUAAGCAACCAAAGGGAACGACUCGAGAGACGAUCCAUGGGGUUCAAAUAUAGAGGGAAAGGGCCCAUGAACAAGAGUGCACCCCCUUUUCCAAUCGGUUAAGGGUCUUGGGAUAGUUGGAGUUAAGCGUCCUUGGGUUUGAAUAGUACUGGGCUGGGUGACCUCCCAGGAAGUCCAAACUCAGGAGCUUACAUUUGGUAUCAGAGGGGUCUCGGGUCCGACUCUGUUGGUUGGCUAGGGGAAUCACACCACAUGUUGAUUGACAUCUGGCUGGUCCAGUUUGCUCCCACUGGGCUCGACCCAAGGGGUAGGGUGUCAGGAGAGCGAGGCUCUCGGGAGAGUUGCGGCUCUCAGCUUCCGUUCACGAGGGCGUGAACUUGCAGGGAAGCGUGGUGGAUGGUAUCAGAGGGGUCUCGGGUCCGACUCUGUUGGUUGGCUAGGGGAAUCACACCACAUGUUGAUUGACAUCUGGCUGGUCUAGUUUGCUCCCACUGGGCUCGACCCAAGGGGUAGGGUGUCAGGAGAGCAAGGCUCUCGGGAGAGUUGCGGCUCUCAGCUUCCGUUCACGAGGGCGUGAACUUGCAGGGAAGCGUGGUGGAUUGUAAGCAACCAAAGGGAACGACUCGAGAGACGAUCCAUGG